AAUAUUGCACAAUGGGCGCAAGCCUGAUGCAGCCAUGCCGCGUGUAUGAAGAAGGCUUCGGGUGUAAAGUACUUCAGUCGUGAGGAAGGCGGCGUCGUUAAUAGCGGCGUUGUUUGACGUUAGCGACAGAAGAAAGCACCGGCUAACUCCGUGCCAGCAGCCGCGGUAAUACGGAGGGUGCGAGCGUUAAUCGGAAUUACUGGGCGUAAAGCGCAUGCAGGUGGUUUGUUAAGUCAGAUGUGAAAGCCCGGGGCUCAACCUCGGAAUUGCAUUUGAAACUGGCAGACUAGAGUACUGUAGAGGGGGGUAGGAAUUUCAGGUGUAGCGGUGAAAUGCGUAGAGAUCUGAAGGAAUACCGGUGGCGAAGGCGGCCCCCUCGGACAGAUACUGACACUCAGAUGCGAAAGCGUGGGGAGCAAACAGGAUUAGAUACCCUGGUAG
rnacentral:rRNA from 1 species